GGAUCCGUGGCGCGUCUGACUUCAGAUCAGAAGAUUGCGUGUUCGGUUCACGUUGGGUUCA
rfam:Glycine max cultivar Williams 82 chromosome 17, whole genome shotgun sequence.